GUAGGUGGCAAGCGUUGUCCGGAAUUAUUGGGCGUAAAGCGCGCGCAGGCGGUUCUUUAAGUCUGAUGUGAAAGCCCACGGGCUCAACCGUGGAGGGUCAUUGGAAACUGGAGAACUUGAGUACAGAAGAGGAAAGCGGAAUUCCACGUGUAGCGGUGAAAUGCGUAGAGAUGUGGAGGAACACCAGUGGCGAAGGCGGCUUCUGGUCUGUAACUGACGCUGAGGCGCGAAAGCGUGGGGAGCAAACAGGAUUAGAUACCCUGGUAGUCCACGCCGUAAACGAUGAGUGCUAAGUGUUAGGGGGUUUCCGCCCCUUAGUGCUGCAGCUAACGCAUUAAGCACUCCGCCUGGGGAGUACGGCCGCAAAGGCUG
rnacentral:rRNA from 1 species